UCUUAUAACUCCUACUAAAACUAUUAUUUAGCUGUGGCUGGGGUUGUAAAAAGACCCAACUUUGGCUUGGGCUGGGGCCCCAGUCACUCACUACACACAAGUGUGGAACCACUAAACUAAAAACUUUUUUUUUUUUUUUUUACGCUUGUUUUUUUUUAUUUUUUCAAAUUUGUUUAUGUUUUUUUUUAUACACAUGUUGUACAGUAAAAAUGAAGAUGGAAGCAAAGUUUAAAAAAUUUGCUGUAGUUGAAUUUCUUGAUGAAAAAAAAAGCAUGUGUGCCAUGGACGUUAUCUGUUUGUCAUGGCUGAUCAAUAAAAGUUUAGUGCGUUGGCCAAAUCACUUGCGAUCAUUUCGCCUUUUAACUGCCAUACGCGAAGUAACACUUACUCCUGUAAGUAACUGGAAACAGCUAAAAAUAAGAGUUCUUUAUUAUUCUGUUAUGAAACUGCUGUAGAACAAAUGGAAAUGUUAGAGUUCACAUCAAGCGUUGAAACAGCUGCUAAUAGCGAUGAAAAAUUGUCCAUGCCACCAGCUAAAAAGUUAGCAGUUUGUAAUACAAUUGACACUGAGGAGACAUAUCCAUCAGUUUCCCCAAGAUUGAAGAAAUCUUUUAAUUGCCAAAAUAUUUUACAACCCACAACUGUUCAAUAUAUUGAGCUAUUUAGUUCGAAUCGUUCUCUACUGAUAUUUUCCUCUUCUGAUCAGAGCUUGGAAGCUGUUGUGGCUGCUUUAGGCACCUGAUUUCCUGGUAAAGGAUUACCUUGAUGGGUUAUUUAU
rnacentral:misc_RNA from 1 species